GGAGGUAUACCUCAGUUGUAGAGUGUAUGCUUAGCAUGCACAAGGUCCUGGGUUCAAUCCCCAGUAUCAUUA
rnacentral:tRNA from 1 species